UAUGACCACAACACGUUGAAACACCAGUUCGCGUACGAUCACCGAAGUUAAGCAACGUCGAGCCUGGUCCGUACCUGGAUUGGUGACCACUUAUGAAUGGCAUGUGCUGUAAG